rnacentral:tRNA from 1 species
GCCUGGCUGGCUCAGUCAGUAGAGCAUGCAACUCUUGAUCUCAGGGUUGUGAGUUCAACCCCCAUGUUGGGUG